rnacentral:rRNA from 1 species
GACGAACGCUGGCGGCGUGCCUAAUACAUGCAAGUCGAGCGCAGGAAACCAGAUGACCCCUUCGGGGUGAUUCUGGCGGAAUGAGCGGCGGACGGGUGAGUAACACGUGGGCAACCUGCCUGUAAGACUGGGAUAACUUCGGGAAACCCGAGCUAAUACCGGAUAGUAUUUCCUUUCUCCUGAUUGGAAAUGGAAAGACGGUUUCGGCUGUCACUUACAGAUGGGCCCGCGGUGCAUUAGCUAGUUGGUGGGGUAAUGGCCCACCAAGGCGACGAUGCAUAGCCGACCUGAGAGGGUGAUCGGCCACACUGGGACUGAGACACGGCCCAGACUCCUACGGGAGGCAGCAGUAGGGAAUCUUCCGCAAUGGACGAAAGUCUGACGGAGCAACGCCGCGUGAGCGAUGAAGGCCUUCGGGUCGUAAAGCUCUGUUGUUAGGGAAGAACAAGUACGAGAGUAACUGCUCGUACCUUGACGGUACCUAACCAGAAAGCCCCGGCUAACUACGUGCCAGCCGCCGCGGUAAGAC